rnacentral:rRNA from 1 species
UACAGAGGUCCCAAGCGUUUGUUCGGAUUCACUGGGCGUAAAGGGUGCGUAGGCGGUCGGGUAAGUCUGAUGUGAAAUCUCACAGCUUAACUGUGAAACUGCAUUGGAUACUAUUCGGCUUGAGAGUUGGAGGGGGGACUGGAAUUCUUGGUGUAGCAGUGAAAUGCGUAGAUAUCAAGAGGAACACCAGUGGCGAAGGCGAGUCCCUGGACAACUUCUGACGCUGAGGCACGAAGCUAGGGGAGCAAACAGG